GUUUCCAUGGUGUAGUGGUAAUCAUGUUUGCUUUACACGCAAAAGGUCCCCAGUUCGAAACUAGGUGGAAACA